rnacentral:lncRNA from 7 species
AUCAAUAUGGCUUGUCCUUAUUAGCUAAUAGUACAAUGCCUGUGCGUUAGCAGGACAUAUAAAUAUAAGAGUUCCUUUGGAUUUUGGAUUUUAUAUAGGGAAAUGACUUAAAUUUAGAUGAAAUGUCAAAUGAAACUAUAACAAACAAUUCUCAUGCAAAAGCUGGUAAACGUAGUCUCAAGUAUACUUGUUUACUUUCUC